rnacentral:misc_RNA from 1 species
UUUCUGUGGCAUUCUUGAUUAUGAUACUAGGUCCAAUCAUGUUUCAAUUACUAUUAUGUGCCCACUACUUCUUGUCUAUAAGACAUUAAAUAGCUGUUUUUAUUUUCAUGGAUACAGUUUAUAAAAAGGCAACAUUUGUAGAUUAUAAUUUUCUGCAUAUCUUGUGGGAAUGUUUUGUAAUUUAAAUUUCUAUUUGUUGCCCUUUUUGGCAUCAGGCUGGAAGAAUAGAAGAUGCCG